rnacentral:rRNA from 1 species
AAAGAAAUUCGUACAUCUAGGAGCUAUAGAACUAGUACCGCAAGGGAAAGAUGAAAGACUAAUUAAAAGUAAGAACAAGCAAAGAUUAAACCUUGUACCUUUUGCAUAAUGAACUAACUAGAAAACUUCUAACUAAAAGAAUUACAGCUAGAAACCCCGAAACCAAACGAGCUACCUAAAAACAAUUUUAUGAAUCAACUCGUCUAUGUGGCAAAAUAGUGAGAAGAUUUUUAGGUAGAGGUGAAAAGCCUAACGAGCUUGGUGAUAGCUGGUUACCCAAAAAAUGAAUUUAAGUUCAAUUUUAAACUUGCUAAAAAAACAACAAAAUCAAAAAGUAAGUUUAGAUUAUAGCCAAAAGAGGGACAGCUCUUCUGGAACGGAAAAAACCUUUAAUAGUGAAUAAUUAACAAAACAGCUUUUAACCAUUGUAGGCCUAAAAGCAGCCACCAAUAAAGAAAGCGUUCAAGCUCAACAUAAAAUUUCAAUUAAUUCCAUAAUUUACACCAACUUCCUAAACUUAAAAUUGGGUUAAUCUAUAACUUUAUAGAUGCAACACUGUUAGUAUGAGUAACAAGAAUUCCAAUUCUCCAGGCAUACGCGUAUAACAACUCGGAUAACCAUUGUUAGUUAAUCAGACUAUAGGCAAUAAUCACACUAUAAAUAAUCCACCUAUAACUUCUCUGUUAACCCAACACCGGAAUGCCUAAAGGAAAGAUCCAAAAAGAUAAAAGGAACUCGGCAAACAAGAACCCCGCCUGUUUACCAAAAACAUCACCUCUAGCAUUACAAGUAUUAGAGGCACUGCCUGCCCAGUGACUAAAGUUUAACGGCCGCGGUAUCCUGACCGUGCAAAGGUAGCAUAAUCACUUGUUCCUUAAUUAGGGACUAGCAUGAACGGCUAAACGAGGGUCCAACUGUCUCUUAUCUUUAAUCAGUGAAAUUGACCUUUCAGUGAAGAGGCUGAAAUAUAAUAAUAAGACGAGAAGACCCUAUGGAGCUUAAAUUAUAUAACUUAUCUAUUUAAUUUAUUAAACCUAAUGGCCCAAAAACUAUAGUAUAAGUUUGAAAUUUCGGUUGGGGUGACCUCGGAGAAUAAAAAAUCCUCCGAAUGAUUAUAACCUAGACUUACAAGUCAAAGUAAAAUCAACAUAUCUUAUUGACCCAGAUAUAUUUUGAUCAACGGACCAAGUUACCCUAGGGAUAACAGCGCAAUCCUAUUUAAGAGUUCAUAUCGACAAUUAGGGUUUACGACCUCGAUGUUGGAUCAGGACAUCCCAAUGGUGUAGAAGCUAUUAAUGGUUCGUUUGUUCAACGAUUAAAGUCCUACGUGAUCUGAGUUCAGACCGGAGCAAUCCAGGUCGGUUUCUAUCUAUUUACGAUUUCUCCCA